rnacentral:tRNA from 1 species
GUGGUUGUGGCUCAGUGGUAGAGCACUUGCCUAGCACGUGUGAGGCGCUGGGUUUGAUCCUCAGCAUCACA